rnacentral:rRNA from 1 species
GACGAACGCUGGCGGCGUGCUUAACACAUGCAAGUCGAACGGAAAGGCCCUGCUUUUGUGGGGUGCUCGAGUGGCGAACGGGUGAGUAACACGUGAGUAACCUGCCCUUGACUUUGGGAUAACUUCAGGAAACUGGGGCUAAUACCGGAUAGGAGCUCCUGCUGCAUGGUGGGGGUUGGAAAGUUUCGGCGGUUGGGGAUGGACUCGCGGCUUAUCAGCUUGUUGGUGGGGUAGUGGCUUACCAAGGCUUUGACGGGUAGCCGGCCUGAGAGGGUGACCGGCCACAUUGGGACUGAGAUACGGCCCAGACUCCUACGGGAGGAAGCAGUGGGGAAUUUUGCACAAUGGGCGGAAGCCUGAUGCAGCAACGCCGCGUGCGGGAUGACGGCCUUCGGGUUGUAAACCGCUUUCGCCUGUGACGAAGCGUGAGUGACGGUAAUGGGUAAAGAAGCACCGGCUAACUACGUG